GAGCGAGCCGUUCGACAUGCCAAUUGACCUCUUAGACGAUUAGGAGGAUUGAAGCAGGUAGAAUGGCAUGCCGAUGGAAAAGGGUUGGGCCUCUUUGGUGGAUACGGGAGUGCACGAGAACAUGCACGUGUGGCCCCUAUUGGAAUGAAUUCCUCCUGACCAUGGAGGCACUCGAGACUCGAAGCCCAUGUCAACACCC
rnacentral:lncRNA from 1 species